UACGAGGGGGGCAAGCGUUGUUCGGAUUCAUUGGGCGUAAAGCGCGCGCAGGCGGUUUCUUAAGUCUGAUGUGAAAGCCCACGGCUCAACCGUGGAGGGUCAUUGGAAACUGGGGAACUUGAGUGCAGAAGAGAAAAGCGGAAUUCCACGUGUAGCGGUGAAAUGCGUAGAGAUGUGGAGGAACACCAGUGGCGAAGGCGGCUUUUUGGUCUGUAACUGACGCUGAGGCGCGAAAGCGUGGGGAGCAAACAGG
rnacentral:rRNA from 1 species